GAAAAUGGCAGUUAGGAGGAAGUGAGCACAGAGCUUCAGCAAAGGAUGCUGGGACCUGUAGUUUAUAGACAGCGUGUGGUGAAGGGAACAAGUAGGAGGGCAGAAAGGUGUAUAAGAGCCGCAUACAGGAGAUACAAAGAAUAUCCUUCUUUACCAUAUUCUUCCACACUGAAUGUUUCCACUGUGUCCUUCACUCGGACUGAAUAUUCUCCCAGCUGAGGCUCAGAGGAGAGAGGAAGCGAGAGCUCAGCAAUUCCCUGUCUCAGACUCACAUUCAGCCACUGACCGAUUAGGUUCUUCUCUGGAUCCUGAUACAAAGAAAAUCAAAUCCAUCAUGACGAGUGAUCUCCAACCUAUGGCUCAACCUAUGCCCUGAUAUCUAUAAGCAAUGCAAUGCAUGCAAGUGAGAGCAUAUACAAGCAUAGAGAUGUGAAUAUGUAGACAAAAUACUAACCAGCGAUUCCAACCAAUGGGACAGGCCACUACCUACAUAUUAUAGAUACAUACCAUCCAACUGUACUUUUUUCUAGAACUUAUAUUAGUUUUAUAUUACCAUAUAGCCCAAGAGAUGCCGCCAUUUUCCUGCUGAUUCCUCCUUUUCAAAAAUGUUUAUAUUAUAUUAUGCACUUGUUUAUCUAAAUAUAUAUAUA